AAUACAUGCAAGUCGAGCGGACAGAUGGGAGCUUGCUCCCUGAUGUUAGCGGCGGACGGGUGAGUAACACGUGGGUAACCUGCCUGUAAGACUGGGAUAACUCCGGGAAACCGGGGCUAAUACCGGAUGGUUGUCUGAACCGCAUGGUUCAGACAUAAAAGGUGGCUUCGGCUACCACUUACAGAUGGACCCGCGGCGCAUUAGCUAGUUGGUGAGGUAACGGCUCACCAAGGCGACGAUGCGUAGCCGACCUGAGAGGGUGAUCGGCCACACUGGGACUGAGACACGGCCCAGACUCCUACGGGAGGCAGCAGUAGGGAAUCUUCCGCAAUGGACGAAAGUCUGACGGAGCAACGCCGCGUGAGUGAUGAAGGUUUUCGGAUCGUAAAGCUCUGUUGUUAGGGAAGAACAAGUGCCGUUCAAAUAGGGCGGCACCUUGACGGUACCUAACCAGAAAGCCACGGCUAACUACGUGCCAGCAGCCGCGGUAAUACGUAGGUGGCAAGCGUUGUCCGGAAUUAUUGGGCGUAAAGGGCUCGCAGGCGGUUUCUUAAGUCUGAUGUGAAAGCCCCCGGCUCAACCGGGGAGGGUCAUUGGAAACUGGGGAACUUGAGUGCAGAAGAGGAGAGUGGAAUUCCACGUGUAGCGGUGAAAUGCGUAGAGAUGUGGAGGAACACCAGUGGCGAAGGCGACUCUCUGGUCUGUAACUGACGCUGAGGAGCGAAAGCGCGAGGAGCGAACAGGUUUAUAUACUCUGGUAAUCCACGCCGUAAACGAUGAGCGCCAAUGUUAGGGGUUUUCCUCCCCCCUAGUGCUGCACUAACGCAUAAGCACACCGCCGGCCGGGGGAGGGGCCCGAGGC
rnacentral:rRNA from 1 species